rnacentral:rRNA from 1 species
AUUGAACGCUGGCGGCAUGCCUUACACAUGCAAGUCGAACGGCAGCACGGGUGCUUGCACCUGGUGGCGAGUGGCGAACGGGUGAGUAAUACAUCGGAACGUACCUUAUCGUGGGGGAUAACGCAGCGAAAGUUGCGCUAAUACCGCAUAAGCCCUGAGGGGGAAAGCGGGGGACCGUAAGGCCUCGCGCGAUUAGAGCGGCCGAUGUCUGAUUAGCUUGUUGGUGAAGUAAAAGCUCACCAAGGCGAUGAUCAGUAGCUGGUCUGAGAGGACGAUCAGCCACACUGGGACUGAGACACGGCCCAGACUCCUACGGGAGGCAGCAGUGGGGAAUUUUGGACAAUGGGGGCAACCCUGAUCCAGCAAUGCCGCGUGAGUGAAGAAGGCCUUCGGGUUGUAAAGCUCUUUUGUCAGGGAAGAAACAGCAGCUCUAACACAGUCUGCGAAUGACGGUACCUGAAGAAUAAGCACCGGCUAACUACGUGCCAGCAGCCGCCGUAA